rnacentral:rRNA from 1 species
AUUGAACGCUAGCGGGAUGCCUUACACAUGCAAGUCGAACGGAGUGGCGAACGGGUGAGUAAUGUAUCGGAACGUGCCCAGUAGCGGGGGAUAACUACGCGAAAGCGUAGCUAAUACCGCAUACUAUUGGAGCGGCCGCUAUCGGAUUGGCUAGUGGGUGGGGUAACGGCUAACCAGGGCUACGAUCCGUCGCUGGUUUGAGAGGACGACCAGCCACACGGGGACUGGGACACGGCCCAGAGUCCUACGGGAGGCAGCAGUGGGGAAUUUUGGACAAUGGGGGAAACCCUGAUCCAGCCAUCCCGCGUGUGGGAUGAAGGCCUUCGGGUUGUAAAGCACUUUUGGCAGGAAAGCGGUACCUGCAGAAUAAGCACCGGCUAACUACGUGCCAGCAGCCGCGGUAAUUC